rnacentral:rRNA from 1 species
AGCGAACGCUGGCGGCAGGCUUAACACAUGCAAGUCGAGCGGGCAUAGCAAUAUGUCAGUGGCAGACGGGUGAGUAACGCGUGGGAACGUACCUUUUGGUUCGGAACAACACAGGGAAACUUGUGCUAAUACCGGAUAAGCCCUUACGGGGAAAGAUUUAUCGCCGAAAGAUCGGCCCGCGUCUGAUUAGCUAGUUGGUAGGGUAAUGGCCUACCAAGGCGACGAUCAGUAGCUGGUCUGAGAGGAUGAUCAGCCACAUUGGGACUGAGACACGGCCCAAACUCCUACGGGAGGCAGCAGUGGGGAAUAUUGGACAAUGGGCGAAAGCCUGAUCCAGCCAUGCCGCGUGAGUGAUGAAGGCCCUAGGGUUGUAAAGCUCUUUUGUGCGGGAAGAUAAUGACGGUACCGCAAGAAUAAGCCCCGGCUAACUUCGUG